rnacentral:rRNA from 1 species
GAUUAAGAGCUUGCUCUUAUGAAGUUAGCGGCGGACGGGUGAGUAACACGUGGGUAACCUGCCCAUAAGACUGGGAUAACUCCGGGAAACCGGGGCUAAUACCGGAUAACAUUUUGAACUGCAUGGUUCGAAAUUGAAAGGCGGCUUCGGCUGUCACUUAUGGAUGGACCCGCGUCGCAUUAGCUAGUUGGUGAGGUAACGGCUCACCAAGGCAACGAUGCGUAGCCGACCUGAGAGGGUGAUCGGCCACACUGGGACUGAGACACGGCCCAGACUCCUACGGGAGGCAGCAGUAGGGAAUCUUCCGCAAUGGACGAAAGUCUGACGGAGCAACGCCGCGUGAGUGAUGAAGGCUUUCGGGUCGUAAAACUCUGUUGUUAGGGAAGAACAAGUGCUAGUUGAAUAAGCUGGCACCUUGACGGUACCUAACCAGAAAGCCACGGCUAACUACGUGCCAGCAGCCGCGGUAAUACGUAGGUGGCAAGCGUUAUCCGGAAUUAUUGGGCGUAAAGCGCGCGCAGGUGGUUUCUUAAGUCUGAUGUGAAAGCCCACGGCUCAACCGUGGAGGGUCAUUGGAAACUGGGAGACUUGAGUGCAGAAGAGGAAAGUGGAAUUCCAUGUGUAGCGGUGAAAUGCGUAGAGAUAUGGAGGAACACCAGUGGCGAAGGCGACUUUCUGGUCUGUAACUGACACUG